rnacentral:misc_RNA from 1 species
GAUGAAGAACGUAGCGAAAUGCGAUAAGUAAUGUGAAUUGCAGAAUUCAGUGAAUCAUCGAAUCUUUGAACGCAUCUUGCGCUCCUUGGUAUUCUGAGGAGCAUGCCUGUUUGAGUGUCAUUAAAUUCUCAACUACACUGACUUUGAAUUGGUGUGGCUUGGAUUUGGGGGGAAAAUUGUUGUGGGCUUUUUGUAUAGUCUGCUCCCCUGAAAUUGAUUAGCGGUACCUUUGUGGAACUGUCUACAGGUGUGAUAAUUAUCUACAUCUUAGACAUCUGCUGGAAUGCUGCUUUCUAAACCUUACUUGUAUUGACAAUCUUGACCUCAAAUCAGGUAGGACUACACGCUGAACUUAAGCAUAUCAAUAAGCGGAGGA